rnacentral:tRNA from 1 species
GGUAAUAUAAUUUAAAGGUCAAAUUAUUAUUUCAUAUGUAAGAUAUAAAGGUUCAACCCCUUUUAUUACCU